rnacentral:lncRNA from 1 species
GGAUAAUGGACACCCUUUCACAUCCAUUUGCAGGGAGAUUUUCCAUUCAGAGGACUUCCUAGAUUCUAUACAAAAUUGUUGCUGUCAUAAUCUCCCGACAUUUCAAGGCCAUGAAAUGUACAUGAUUGGUUUAAGUGCUCAGAAAACACACAUAUGCUCUGAAAAAAAUUUCAUUUUAAUAUUUGCCGUGGAAUAGAGUGAGAAUCUGAGGGCAUUCGAGAAUAAAUUAAAGGAAAAAAAAAAGAGACAUGUUCUGCAUUUGUAAAAACAGACACCUAGAUGAUGGUGAAAUCGCUAAACGGAAAGGACGUGGGCCUCUAAAUUUUGUGGACCAGGUCAGGAACAUACCCUUCCUCAGGAUGCUGUGGACUAUGAUGUGUGAUACAACUACCUCAGUUUUUCCUGGUUGGAGUGAAGACACAGAUUGUGGAAUCUGGUGGCCCAGCGCUGUGACCCGCAUCACAUCUCACUACGUACCUGGUCACAUAAAUUCCCUCUCAUUGAUGGAAGACUACUAGGAGAGAAACUUGCUUUGUGAUUGAACAAGACUGCUUCUAAGUUGUGGGUAGUAAAAUGAAUUGCUUUUGUGACUCAGUUAAUUGUUAGGUAUGUAACACUGGUAAUGAGUAUGUAAAUAAAUAGAAGCAGCAUCAUCUAG